GGGAGACUGCUUUGUUGAGAGUGAGGAGAAAGAAUGGGUUUGAGAAGAACAGAGGUGGUGUGAAAUGGUCGUGUGGACAAGCAAAACUGACUUAACCAGAUGAGCUCGUCCAGACCGCUGGACAGGGCCGGGUGCACUUGUUGGUGAGACAGCAGGGCAGACCUAAUCCCUAGGAUGGAAUUGCACAGACACAAAUGCACAGAGCAUCUCGGAUGCUGCCCAGGGACCCAGGAGAAGAACCCCUGCUCCAGGCGCCACUGAAUGCCCAGUAAGAGUGUCCGGACCAGCGAUGUCCGUGGAAUGCAAGGUGCACGUUUUGACGGCCAAUGGAAACCAAAUGCACACUCGUGAGACGUAUGGUAAAGUCCCGCUGGAAUGCACACGGGAGGAGAGGUAAGGAGAAUUCACUUCCUGAAGAAUCCUGGCCUGGAGGCUUAUGUGAGCAUCUUCACAGGAGCAUUUUUCAAUACAGGUGGUUGAAACUUACAGUCAGAGAAGUGACGUGUAAGGGAUCCUGAGCUGUUUCCCCAGUUAACAUCCCUGGUGACCUUGUGGUUUAAAGAAGUCAUCUCAUAAUCCACUGGCUCAGCGUAGCCACCUGCAAG